GGGUUGUGAGGUUAAGCGACUAAGCGUACACGGUGGAUGCCUAGGCAAUCAGAGGCGAUGAAGGACGUGCUAAUCUGCGAAAAGCGUCGGUAAGGUGAUAUGAACCGUUAUAACCGACGAUGUCCGAAUGGGGAAACCCAGUGCAAUUCGUUGCACUAUCGUUUGAUGAAUCCAUAGUCAAACGAGGCGAACCGGGGGAACUGAAACAUCUCAGUACCCCGAGGAAAAGAAAUCAACCGAGAUUCCCCUAGUAGCGGCGAGCGAACGGGGAGCAGCCCAGAGUCUUAAUCAGCAUCAGCAUCAGGAGAACGGUCUGGAAAGGCCGGCAAUAAAGGGUGAUAGCCCCGUAUCCGAAGGUGUUGGUGUUGUGAACUCGACGAGUAGGGCGGGACACGUGUUAUCCUGUCUGAAUAUGGGGGGACCAUCCUCCAAGGCUAAAUACUCCUGAUUGACCGAUAGUGAACCAGUACCGUGAGGGAAAGGCGAAAAGAACCCCGGCGAGGGGAGUGAAAUAGAACCUGAAACCGUGUACGUACAAGCAGUGGGAGCCUUGAUUUAUCAGGGUGACUGCGUACCUUUUGUAUAAUGGGUCAGCGACUUAUAUUCUGUAGCAAGGUUAACCGUAUAGGGGAGCCGUAGGGAAACCGAGUCUUAACUGGGCGAAUGAGUUGCAGGGUAUAGACCCGAAACCCGGUGAUCUAGCCAUGGGCAGGUUGAAGGUUGGGUAACACUAACUGGAGGACCGAACCGACUAAUGUUGAAAAAUUAGCGGAUGACUUGUGGCUGGGGGUGAAAGGCCAAUCAAACCGGGAGAUAGCUGGUUCUCCCCGAAAGCUAUUUAGGUAGCGCCUCGUGAACUCAUCUUCGGGGGUAGAGCACUGUUUCGGCUAGGGGGUCAUCCCGACUUACCAACCCGAUGCAAACUACGAAUACCGAAGAAUGUUAUCACGGGAGACACACGGCGGGUGCUAACGUUCGUCGUGAAGAGGGAAACAACCCAGACCGCCAGCUAAGGUCCCAAAGUCAUGGUUAAGUGGGAAACGAAGUGGGAAGGCUCAGACAGCCAGGAUGUUGGCUUAGAAGCAGCCAUCAUUUAAAGAAAGCGUAAUAGCUCACUGGUCGAGUCGGCCUGCGCGGAAGAUGUAACGGGGCUAAACCAUGCACCGAAGCUGCGGCAGCGACAUGUAAAUGUUGUUGGGUAGGGGAGCGUUCUGUAAGCCUGUGAAGGUGUGCUGCGAGGCAUGCUGGAGGUAUCAGAAGUGCGAAUGCUGACAUAAGUAACGAUAAUGCGGGUGAAAAACCCGCACGCCGGAAGACCAAGGGUUCCUGUCCAACGUUAAUCGGGGCAGGGUGAGUCGACCCCUAAGGCGAGGCAGAAAUGCGUAGUCGAUGGGAAACAGGUUAAUAUUCCUGUACUGGUGAUAAUUGCGAUGGGGGGACGGAGAAGGCUAGGCUGGCCGGGCGACGGUUGUCCCGGUUUAAGGAUGUAGGUGGGUGAAUUAGGCAAAUCCGGUUCGCUAUACACUGAGGUCUGAUGACGAGUCACUACGGUGGCGAAGUAGCUCAUGCCCCGCUUCCAGGAAAAGCCUCUAAGCUCUAGAUUAUCAUUAAUCGUACCCCAAACCGACACAGGUGGUCAGGUAGAGAAUACUCAGGCGCUUGAGAGAACUCGGGUGAAGGAACUAGGCAAAAUGGUGCCGUAACUUCGGGAGAAGGCACGCUGGCACUAGGUGAAGUGGUUUACCCAUGGAGCUGAAGCCAGUCGCAGAUACCAGCUGGCUGCAACUGUUUAUUAAAAACACAGCACUGUGCAAACACGAAAGUGGACGUAUACGGUGUGACGCCUGCCCGGUGCUGGAAGGUUAAUUGAUGGGGUUAUCCGUAAGGAGAAGCUCUUGAUCGAAGCCCCAGUAAACGGCGGCCGUAACUAUAACGGUCCUAAGGUAGCGAAAUUCCUUGUCGGGUAAGUUCCGACCUGCACGAAUGGCGUAAUGAUGGCCAGGCUGUCUCCACCCGAGACUCAGUGAAAUUGAACUCGCUGUGAAGAUGCAGUGUACCCGCGGCAAGACGGAAAGACCCCGUGAACCUUUACUAUAGCUUGACACUGAACAUUGAGCCUUGAUGUGUAGGAUAGGUGGGAGGCUUUGAAGUGUGGACGCCAGUCUGCAUGGAGCCAACCUUGAAAUACCACCCUUUAAUGUUUGAUGUUCUAACGUUGCCCCAUAAUCUGGGGUGCGGACAGUGUCUGGUGGGUAGUUUGACUGGGGCGGUCUCCUCCCAAAGCGUAACGGAGGAGCACGAAGGUUGGCUAAGCAUGGUCGGACAUCAUGCGGUUAGUGCAAAGGCAUAAGCCAGCUUGACUGCGAGAGUGACGGCUCGAGCAGGUACGAAAGUAGGUCUUAGUGAUCCGGUGGUUCUGAAUGGAAGGGCCAUCGCUCAACGGAUAAAAGGUACUCCGGGGAUAACAGGCUGAUACCGCCCAAGAGUUCAUAUCGACGGCGGUGUUUGGCACCUCGAUGUCGGCUCAUCACAUCCUGGGGCUGAAGUAGGUCCCAAGGGUAUGGCUGUUCGCCAUUUAAAGUGGUACGCGAGCUGGGUUUAGAACGUCGUGAGACAGUUCGGUCCCUAUCUGCCGUGGGCGUUGGAAGAUUGAAAGGGGCUGCUCCUAGUACGAGAGGACCGGAGUGGACGCACCGCUGGUGUUCGGGUUGUCAUGCCAAUGGCACUGCCCGGUAGCUAAGUGCGGAAGAGAUAACCGCUGAAAGCAUCUAAGCGGGAAACUUGCCUUGAGAUGAGUCUUCCCUGACUCUUUAAGGGUCCUAAAGGAACGUUUAAGACGAAGACGUUGAUAGGCUGGGUGUGUAAGCGUAGCGAUACGUUGAGCUAACCAGUACUAAUGAACCGUGAGGCUUAACCUGACAACACCGAAGGUGUUUUAG
rnacentral:rRNA from 1 species